rnacentral:lncRNA from 1 species
CUUCAGCGCACACGUAGCACACCCCUCUGUCCCAAGUGCUCAAAGUCGGGGCGUCGCGUGGUGUGCUUAGUUGUUUAGUCCUCUGUCACGCUAAUACGUUGUGUCGAUCUAGGGCACGGACGCUUCCUCGCAGGCGAUUUUGACAGCAAUCAUCCUACCAAGCUAUUAUGAAGUGUGAUGUCAGUGCGUUCUGCAGGACGGAUAAUGUAUAAGCCAGAUCUUGACACGCUAUCUUACAAGGAAGCAGCUGAGACCAUCAGUCCUUUCAAGCACGGAUCGCAGUGCCCAGUGGUCAAUACCCUUACUUUUAUCCAGUGUCUGCUUCAUUUAAACUUAAUCAACUCCAUCAACGAACUGGAACAGGGAAACGUCCCUGCGGCUUCUAAUGUGAGGAAAAACACGGAAUGA